GACGUAUGUGGCUUGCAUUACAUUUCUGCUGGACAGAGCUGCUCUGACCCCCUUCUCCAUCAGCACAGGUUCUGGGACUAGAAGAAUCUGAACUCUAGAUCAAGCCAUACCACUCACUAGCUGUGCGAUUUGGGGUGGCAGACAACCACGCUUUCUUUGCUGCUCCUCGCAUCAAGCAGUGGAGUUGAUUUCUCCAUCUGCUUUUAUCUGGACUGGACCUGUGAGCUGCUUGGGCAGAGAGAAUGUGGUAGAAGUGACUGUGCAGGCUCUGACCCCGGGUCUCAAGACCUGGAGGCUUCUGUUCCUGCUUUCUGGGAGCCCUGCUGCCAUGUGAACAAGCCCGAGCUAGCCUCCUGGAGAAUGGGCCACACGUGGAGCAGAGACAGACAGUCCAGUGCCUUUUAUUCUCCUUUCAUUUAAGUGGGCCUUUCAGCCCCAGUGACUCCAACUGGAUGUCAAGGAGCAGCUGUGACAGUCGUCCCCGGUACUGACCUGCCAGGUGUCCGCAGUUCUGUUCGGGAGUGCCUCUGGCUUUGCCUUUGCUUCUGUGUCUCACGGUGCGAUUGAAGAUGGAGUUUCUCUGGAUAGGGAUGUAGUAAUGGGGUGCUUUGUCUUGCAUCUCCUGGUCGGCAUGGGGCGUCCCCUCUUCUGAGAGGACCUCAGGUCUCACACUGGCCAGCUCACCAAUCUCCCACGAACCACUCACUGAUUUCUUCUGGGGCUUUCCCAAAUCCGCAGAGUCCCUGGUCUCCAUGGAAAUAAGUCCAAUUGUUUCUCAGCAGAAUGACUGGAGAACAAUAACCGCUCUCAAUCGUCCCUGGUUUUGAGUGCUCUAGAAUCGAAAGA